rnacentral:rRNA from 1 species
AGCGAACGCUGGCGGCAGGCCUAACACAUGCAAGUCGAACGAACUCUUCGGAGUUAGUGGCGGACGGGUGAGUAACACGUGGGAACGUGCCUUUUGGUUCGGAAUAACUCAGGGAAACUUGUGCUAAUACCGAAUGUGCCCUUCGGGGGAAAGAUUUAUCGCCAUUAGAGCGGCCCGCGUCUGAUUAGCUAGUUGGUGAGGUAACGGCUCACCAAGGCGACGAUCAGUAGCUGGUCUGAGAGGAUGACCAGCCACACUGGGACUGAGACACGGCCCAGACUCCUACGGGAGGCAGCAGUGGGGAAUCUUGCGCAAUGGGCGAAAGCCUGACGCAGCCAUGCCGCGUGAAUGAUGAAGGUCUUAGGAUUGUAAAAUUCUUUCACCGGGGACGAUAAUGAAGGUACCCGGAGAAGAAGCCCCGGCUAACUUCGUG